rnacentral:lncRNA from 1 species
AAGUGGCCAGAUUAAGUGCCUUGAUGGAAUCAUUCAUGGCUGCUCAGAGCCAGUCUUCUCCGACACCUUCAACUCCUCCCCAGAGGACAGUCAUCUCUGAGAUUGUCUCCUCGACUGAGGAAGUGGCCAGAUUAAGUGCCUUGAUGGAAUCAUUCAUGGCUGCUCAGAGCCAGUCUUCUCCGACACCUUCAACUCCUCCCCAGAGGACAGUCAUC